UACAGAGGGGGCAAGCGUUGCUCGGAAUUACUGGGCGUAAAGGGCGCGUAGGCGGGAUGGCAAGUCGGUCGUGAAAUCCCUCGGCUCAACUGAGGAUCGUCGAUCGAUACUGCCGUUCUUGAGGAUUGCAGAGGAGACUGGAAUUCCCGGUGUAGCGGUGAAAUGUGUAGAGAUCCGGAAGAACACCGGUGGCGAAGGCGGCCCGCUGGGCAGGAAGGCUCGCAAGAGCCGGCUGACGCUGAGGCGCGACAGCGUGGGGAGCAAACAGG
rnacentral:rRNA from 1 species